CCCCUCCUCUUUGCUGCUGCAGUGUCUGCGCCGGGCCAUUUAAUGAGAUUUAUUCACGCACGGCUCUUCUCAGCUUUGCGAGGGGUUGGCAGAUCCAGUGCACAGGGAUUUCCCACUACCGUGUUUUUCUCCCGCCCCCUUCCUUCCCUCUCGUCCUAAUACAUCCUUCGUUGGUUUCCUCGGCCCCGCAGGCUGCGUCCCGGGCACGCGCAAGUACAUGUAAGGACUUGUCAGCUGCCGGUGACCUCCCUCCUCCCUCGUCGCUCCUCCCCCAGCGGAAUGUAGGAUUAACAGUCUUUCCGAGAAAAUUUUGGCCAAAGAAAAAGGCCUGUGAAAGUCACCGCGUUAGACGUGGCCUCCUCGUGUUUUUCACUAACACGUUAUGGAAGGUUUUACUACCCGAAGGCAUAAAAGCACCACCGUGGGGAAGGGCCGUUUUGAAUAAACAACUUUAUUCAAAAAUCGAGAGGGGGUGAAGCGAUGCAGUUAGGGAAUUUUUGUUUUAAAGAGUAGUAACAUGCAGCUGGCUUGGCUAUUAAAUUGGAAACAAGGGGUUCCUCUCUGACUUGGCCACUGAUAUUGGGCGUGACCUUGGACAAAUAAUUUUGUUUCUUUGGGCUCAGUUUCUACAUAUGUAAAACGGGAAGGUUUCUCUUAAAAACUAAUCCUGAAGGGUUUCUUCUCAACAAAAAGAUGCAAGCUGUAGGAGGCAGAAAGCGUGGGUUCAAGUUCGAAAUUUGCCCCUGAAUUAGGACCCUUGACACAUUUCUAACCCAUCCAAGUAGAGAUCGUUCUUUUACAUUUGUGUGUUAUACAGGUGCAUUUUAGUGGUUACCAGGUUGCCACGUAUUUGAAGUGGUGUGAGAGCUACUCGUUUGGAACCGUUGUGGAUUUUCAAAUAGGAAAAUCAAAAGGCCCAAAGAGACAGCUCACUGGUGACCAUGCUUUGGGAUUUUCAUAGUUUGAGUAAUUCCUAUGGGCUCUACCACCCAGCGAGUUAAAGAAGACAAGAUUCCACCCCCAGGGGGUUGUGGUUCUGGGAAUGUGAGCAGCUUGUUUUCAGGAGAUCUGCAUCUUGAUCUGGCCUGCUAUUAGGAUCUGUGGUGGUGGUGCCUGUCUGGUUUUAGUUGUUUCUUUUAUCUUACACAGAUUUUUGUAAGUUAUUUGCAUAUAAAGGUUUUUGAAAAGUGAAUGUUUUAUGGGGGCAUCUUGCUUAUACAAAGAAAAAUUAAAACUGUUUUAAAAUAAUCACUCGUGUUACACUUGUCUAUUCUAAAAUAAAUGAAAGUAUUAAUGUUGUUGUCUGGAAGGAAAAUGAAGACCAGGAAAAUAGCUAUGCUCUUAAUGUUUUAAAAUAAGGUAAUAUUAUUCUCUGUUUGAAUGGAGGCUUCUAAGGAAUUACCACAGUCUCACACACAAUCGACUUAAAUGCAUUCUUUAUCUUUAAAAGGAAGCAGAAUAGGAUCAUUGAGUAAAUCACAUGUGUUCACAGUCUUGUCUGGUGUAAUCGUAUACUACACAAACACAUUAUUCUGUAGUCAGGAGGGGAAGGGGACAUUUGAAGCAGGACUUGCCCUUGAGGAGGCCUUUUUCUGUUUAAAGUAUAGUGCAGUGAAAGACCACACAGUAGAAGAUAACAAAAUAUCUUCCAUGCCACCCCCACUUUUUCAUUUUCUCAUUCUCCUUUGUUCUCUAAGGACAUCUGUUGAAAUGAUUAUUCUGUAAAACUCAUAGGUACCUAGCAGAAGCCAUAUCAUAUUUCAUUUAUUAUUUUGUCUACUUAAUUAUUGUUUUCUUUUAUAUCAUGCAAUUGUGGGUUUUAAAAAUAUUCUGUUUAUAAAAGAUAUGAAAGUAUGUUAUAGAAAAUUUAUUAGUUAACUGUAGAUAUCUAAAGAGUAAAAGUUUCAACUCUGAAUUUAAUAAAAUUAUAUCUUAGGAAGCCCAGCAGACUUUUAUUAAGCUACGUCUUAAAAAGAUAAAUAUACUAAAAAGAGAUACUUAAAAAGAUGAAUUUUCCUUUCUAUAUUAAUUACAAUGGAUUUUUAGAUAAUAUGGAAAUAUAUAAAAGUAGUCAGUGUUUAGACAUUUGAAAAAUUAAUGGGAAUAUAUAUUUUGCUGUAUGGUUCUGAAAGUACUAAUUGGUAAUUGAAUCAUAAAAUAUCAGAGUUGAGAUUAAAGAGCUAAAAUUAAAUAAUAUCUUCAGAGACUUAACAGAGAUCUUUCAUUUGUGCCAAAUUUAGUAAGAUUUGCCUCAAUUCAGUUUUACUUAUGGUGUAUAUUGAUUCUUUAAAAUGUCACGUGUAUGGUGGCUCAUGCCUGUAAUCCCAGCACUUUGGGAGGCCAAGGCGGGCAGAUCAUGAGGUCAGGAGAUAUAGACCAUCCUGCCUAACAUGGUGAAACCCUGUCUCUACUAAAAAUACAAAAAAAGGCCCGG
rnacentral:lncRNA from 10 species